GACGAACGCUGGCGGCGUGCUUAACACAUGCAAGUCGAACGGAAAGGCCCUGCUUUUGUGGGGUGCUCGAGUGGCGAACGGGUGAGUAACACGUGAGUAACCUGCACUUGACUUUCGGAUAACUUCAGGAAACUGGGGCUAAUACCGGAUAGGAGCUCCUGCUGCAUGGUGGGGGUUGGAAAGUUUCGGCGGUUGGGGAUGGACUGGCGGCUUAUCAGCUUGUUGGUGGGGUAGUGGCUUACCAAGGCUUUGACGGAUAGCCGGCCUGAGAGGGUGACCGGCCUCAUGAGGACUGAGAGACGGCCCAGUCGCCAACGGUAGGCAGCAGGCGGGAAUAUUGCACAACGGGCGGGAGCCUGAUGCAGCAACGCCGGGUGCGUGAAGACGUCUUUCUGGGUAUAAACAGCUGUCGCCUGUGACGAAGCGUGAGUGACGGUAACGGGUAAAGAAGCACCGGCUAACUACGUG
rnacentral:rRNA from 1 species